rnacentral:lncRNA from 1 species
GGAAUACUAGAUACACUUACUGACUGGGGGAUUUGACCAGCAGUUGGCUGCAUUUCCAGCUAAGUCGUCAGCCUGGAUAUUGAUGAAUUUUUUUAAUAAGAGAACAUCUCUUUUUAUCUCUGUCUCUGUCAAAAGUGAGUGAACACAGGACAUAGUGUUCACAGUUGAAGGAGCAGGUACCUCCAUAAAUCCGUUUCUCCAUGAGAACAACAAAAACAGCGAAACAAAAUACCCAGUCAACUUUUUCCGAACUCUGGAAGUCAACCAAAGGGAUCGAACUCAGGACCUUGCGCUUGUGAGGCAGGUGGCAGCACCACUGAGCUAAAUCCCCAAUCCACUACCGCAAUUCUUAUGAGAUAGCAUUAUCGUCAUUCUGCAGACGGGGAAAGAUUAUUUUUCAAGGUCACUGUGGUAGAUAUUUUACAAAGAUGGCUAUACCAUACCUCCAUCCUCUACAAUGUGGCCCUACCACUCCCUUCUUCCAGGGGAAAGACUGAAUCUCCUCCCCUUAAAUCUGGAUGGGGUUGUGAUUGUUUUGAC